UACGUAGGGCGCGAGCGUUGUCCGGAAUUAUUGGGCGUAAAGAGCUCGUAGGCGGCUUGUCACGUCGGGUGUGAAAGCCCGGGGCUUAACCCCGGGUCUGCAUUCGAUACGGGCUAGCUAGAGUGUGGUCGGGGAGAUCGGAAUUCCUGGUGUAGCGGUGAAAUGCGCAGAUAUCAGGAGGAACACCGGUGGCGAAGGCGGAUCUCUGGGCCAUUACUGACGCUGAGGAGCGAAAGCGUGGGGAGCGAACAGG
rnacentral:rRNA from 1 species